rnacentral:tRNA from 1 species
UCCUGGGUGGCUCAGUAGGUUGAGCAUCUGACUUUGGCUCAGGUCAUGAUCUCACACUCCGUGAGUUCGAGCCCCACAUCGGGCU